rnacentral:lncRNA from 1 species
UCACUUAUGCCUAUAAAAGACAUGUCUAGUGCCUUAAUUGAGAAGUUUUCAGUCUCUAAAAACUCCCCCCAAAAAGUAUUCUACAAUUUCCACAAGUUGAAAUUUAAAUUUCAGAUCCACAAACUAGAUAUGAAAUUUGAAAGCUCUUCUAGAUCUAAAAACUCUUCAAAAAAACAGCACAAAAAAACUCAAAAAUACUACUUAUCCAUUGAGGUCUCUUUAUUCUAGCUCAUCUGAACCCAAAUAGCUUGAAUAUUCCUAGUUUUGGUCAGUAAUUAAAGUUUAAAAGUUUUGUAGUAUUCUUCGAGUUGAAUUUGGUUUAGUUCGAGUUAGUUGUUUUGGUUAUUCGCUGAUGGUUUAGCUGCUGGGUUGAUUUUGGGUUUUGUGGAGCCAUUCUAGUUCUAAAAUUGCUCGUGCUUUCAUUUGAAUCUACUGCUAGUUGUUCCUGGAUUUGCUAUGGUAUUUUGGAGUCGAAAUUGAUCUAGCUGUUUUGCAUUUGGGCUGCUGUUAGCUACUGUUUUAGCUAACCUUCCUCUUCUCACUUCUAUUCUAUUUUCAGGUAUAUUCUUAUGCUCAAGUGAUGCUGAAGAUUAUAUCCACUUGUAGAAAACCAUUUUGAAGUUUAAAUGAUGAGGAAAUGCAUGUUUACACCUGGACCUUUUAUCUUUAUUGUUUAGUUUAGAAAUUUAGUUUGAUUGAUUUACUUGAACCAUAUUUCAAUUGUAUUAAUGAGACUGCGGACUGUACUGGAUUGAUAAACUUUGAGUUCGAGCUUAUUCACUUUAAAAUAGUAGCCUUAGUGUAGUAUAGUUUAAUUUAUUAUGAAGUUGUGUUUUUAAAACUUGAAACUGAGCUUGAAAAUCAGCAUGUAGGCUCUUAUCCAUGAUAAGUCCACGCCUGAUAAUCGUUUUUUCAAUAAUGACUCCAAUAGUUUAGUUCUGAAAUUAAAGGAUAUGCGUUUGAGCUUAAGGCCUAAAUAUAAAUGUUGAUUGUUUUGUAUUAAUUCCUUGAAUUCUAUGAGCAUUAGGCAGAAUCAAAUAAUCAGUAGCUUGUUUUAGUUUGUCAUUAAAAUAGGAUCUCAAAACAAAUUAGUUAACUUGCUAUUUUACCGCUAUUAGAUAGGUGAGUUGGAUCAUUUAGACUCAAAUUUAUGCUUCAUCUCUUGAACUGAGUUAUUACUGCUGCUGAAAUCGACUUAAUUAGUAGGUUGAGUUUCAAUUUGAAAAAUAAUGCCUAGACUACCUAGGUCAUAAAUUUAGGCC